UACGAAGGGUGCAAACGUUGCUCGGAAUUAUUGGGCGUGAAGCGCACGUAGGCGGCAUUGCAAGUCGGAUGUGAAAUCCCUCGGCUCAACCAAGGAAGUGCAUCCGAAACUGCCGUGCUUGAGUACUAAAGAGGAUCGCGGAAUUUCCGGUGUAGAGGUGAAAUUCGUAGAUAUCGGGAGGAACACCAGUGGCGAAGGCGGCGAUCUGGGUAGAUACUGACGCUGAGGUGCGAAAGCGUGGGGAGCAAACAGG
rnacentral:rRNA from 1 species